GGGCCGGUGGUCUAGUUUGGUUAUGAUACUGCCUCGACACGGCAGUGAUCGAGAGUUCAAAUCUCUCCCGGCCCAC
rnacentral:tRNA from 1 species